AUUGAACGCUGGCGGCAGGCUUAACACAUGCAAGUCGAGCGGGGUGAUGGUGCUUGCACUAUCACUUAGCGGCGGACGGGUGAGUAAUGCUUAGGAAUCUGCCUAUUAGUGGGGGACAACAUCUCGAAAGGGAUGCUAAUACCGCAUACGUCCUACGGGAGAAAGCAGGGGAUCACUUGUGACCUUGCGCUAAUAGAUGAGCCUAAGUCGGAUUAGCUAGUUGGUGGGGUAAAGGCCUACCAAGGCGACGAUCUGUAGCGGGUCUGAGAGGAUGAUCCGCCACACUGGGACUGAGACACGGCCCAGACUCCUACGGGAGGCAGCAGUGAGGAAUAUUGGACAAUGGGGGGAACCCUGAUCCGGCCAUGCCGCGUGUGUGAAGAAGGCCUUAUGGUUGUAAAGCACUUUAAGCGAGGAGGAGGCUCUUUUGGUUAAUACCCAAGAUGAGUGGACGUUACUCACAGAAUAAGCACCGGCUAACUCUGUGCCAGCCGCCGCCGUAA
rnacentral:rRNA from 1 species